rnacentral:rRNA from 1 species
UACGGAGGGAGCUAGCGUUGUUCGGAAUUACUGGGCGUAAAGCGCGCGUAGGCGGCUUUGUAAGUUAGAGGUGAAAGCCCGGGGCUCAACCCCGGAACUGCCUUUAAAACUGCAUCGCUUGAAUCCGGGAGAGGUGAGUGGAAUUCCGAGUGUAGAGGUGGAAUUCGUAGAUAUUCGGAAGAACACCAGUGGCGAAGGCGGCUCACUGGACCGGCAUUGACGCUGAGGUGCGAAAGCGUGGGGAGCAAACAGG